GUUAAUAGUAUAGACAGACAAUAUACAUUGAUGACUUAUAAAAUCAAUAGGCUGUGUAGCGGGGCGGAGACGCAGCGCCUUCCAUCGUAGCAGCACUUCAGUCAAGGGCCAAGGUUUUUUGGAAGAGCUAAAUCCCACAGCUCGGGAGGCCAAAUAACCCCGGUGCGUGGUUGUUCCAGCUUUGUUACAUUAAUUUUGCUUCUUGAGAGUUAUUAUGCACCUCCUAAUGAUAUUCUUUUACUCUUUUCAAAACACAGCGCUGCUCAUUUUGUUCACAGUUAUUCAUGUUUUCCUUUCUGUAAUAAAUCCCUACUUACAGGAUUAAACUGCUAAUGGUAAAAUCUAGUACCUAUCUGGGGAACACGGGGCCAGAUUCCCAGCUGCUAUAAAUUGCAGUAGAUCCACUGAAGCCAGUGGGGUUACUAUGAUUUAAAACAGCUGUCGGACUUGCCUGAGAGGUCCGUGAAGUGAUAUUUUGUUUGUAUUCCAUUCAAGAAGAAUGCGAUGUGCCUCAUUCAGCAGAGCAUUACCCUACUUCUGUCCUGGACUAAUUCUGCUGCUCACCGCUGCGUUACAUCACUGCACGGCUCCGGCAGCGCGGAGCUCAAGACAAAACAACCGCCUCCCCAGUGACACGUGCAACGUGCACCUGAAGCCAGAACCUGUGCAGCCUGCCAACAGCCCUGCAGGAAGCGAGCCCAGGGCUGGGAGGGCUCAAGGGAAGGAAAUCCUGGGUUCAGCCGCAAGAACUGACCUGGAUUCUGGCUGCUCCCACCGUGUUCCUUUUUCUAACACAGUGAAAGUUAUGAAGGGUUUCUGGAGCAAAACUCAACUUCAAGACUUGUCUAGACGGAGGGCCCUAGCUCUCAGGGUAGGGCUGCACGUGCUCUUCUCUAUGCCAAAACCACUAUAUACAUCAGGAAGAAGGGAGAUGCCAACAUGGGGUCUUGGUGCUGUACACAUUUUCCUGGAGGUGUAAGGCACAGAUCCGGCAUUCUCCAACAUCACUUCUUUUUGUCCUGUAAGUACAAAAAAAUAAAUAAAUGCUGCAUUUUUCUUCCUUCUUCCCCAAACCACGAGGUUUACAUCCAGACCUGAGUUCCCAAAGUCCACAGGGAUGUGAGGUGUUGGCAGCAGAAGGGCCUGCUGGAUGCAGAGGUGCAUGCGAUGCCGCAGGGAUGCGGAGGCACAGCAGCAGGCAGAGAGGGGCUGUGUGCGGAGUGCUGACUUUGCCCAGUGCCUUCUCUUCCUCUUUGUGCCUUUUUUUGUGAUUAUUUUUCGUGCUUCAAAUGCUCAAAAAUCCCUGGGAGAAAAAAAAAAAUAUAUAUAUAUAUAUUUUUUUGCCUUGCAUGUCUUUUUGUAAAGAACCUCUUUGGUGUCUUUAGAGGGCUUUAAACCCACCUGCUUCCUCUGUAAGGUGCAGAUGAGGAAACAGGAGCGCACAGCCAGCCCUGCACCGACCUCAAAUUCAGGAACCAACAGUGAAACCAAACACCCCACAUCUGGGAAGAGUUUUAAGAUGUAUUUUCACUCUCAAAGCAAAAGAUUUAUUUCCCUUAGGGAAGGACAGGAGGGGCACGGGGGGCAGCGCUCCCCUUGGAACCCUGAAAAGAAGGAGGCAGAACCAGGGGCAGAGGAGAUGCGCAUCGGCACUGCUCCCUCCCAUCUCUCUGUGCUGAGGUGGGCACCUGAACGCUUCUAAGGUCACUUGGAUAAUCUCAUACUGCUCAGGAUGAUAUCUGUCUCAGGCAGGGACUCCUCGAAGGGCUUAAACAACAUCCAUCUUCAUUAUUCCACACCCGCGUGUCGUCGUGAUUGAUUCCCGCUAAAUUUGGUUUAAUUGCUCCGAAAGUCUCAAGGACUGACAUUUGGAGAGCCAAAUGGGAUGUCUGAGCUCCCCCUGCUGCUCCUCCGCUCGCAGCAGGGACGUGGCCGGGAGGAGGGUGCAGGGGGUCCCAUGGAUUUGCACGACCUCUCCGUUCAUGUGUGCACUGGGAGCAGCUCCUGGAUGCCAUCCUGAAGCCUCGAGGAGGUGGACAGCCCCUCCAUCGUGCUUUUAGAGACCAAGUCCUCAGAGCUCCAUCCCAUGCACAUAGCUGGGGCUUGGCCAUACAAAGUGGUUGUGGUGCUGCCUGCCCUGGGGGUGAGGGUCUGCACUCUCCCCGGGGCUCUGUGUCAAUGCAGACAUGAGAAAACAGAAUCUCCAUUCUGCUGGGCCAGGCUUCAGCCCACCGUGCCAGCCAUGCUCCAACAUACGCUUCCCCAGCCCAACCAGGAGCUGCUGCAUUCCCAUGCACAAUCUCAGCUUUUCUGUUCUUGCACCAAACCAUGUUUGCUUUUAUUUUGAUCCUGUGCGUGCAUGACAAUGAUGGUUGCUGUUAUUAUUUUGAACUGGUACUAUGGCUUUCUGAACAGAUGUGGCAGAGCUCUCUGGCAAGUAUUCAGUGGAUUUUAGUUUUGUUCUGUGUAGCUUGACUUUAGUUAAAACAUCUGGAUGUUCAAUCUGAGGAUGGGUGCUAUUGUAAAGCAUGGAACACCAGUAAGAAAAAUAAAAUAUUAAAAUUUACAUUAGUUCUAGAAAGUUUCAGUGGAAAUGUGAAGCCCCUGAACCCAGCACUGGGUGUGGCCUUGAGAAUCUCACACGUGAUUGAUUGGACAGGUGGAUCAUUACAGAUUUCAAGAAGAACAUGAUCCAGGAGCACCACUAGCAUACUCUAAUGGGCAUUUGUUCAACCACUCUAUAUUAGAAGUAGUAGAGAUAGGUGUAGUGUUGUCGUACGUACUUAACACAUACUGGUAGUUAUGUUGUGUAGAUAUUGGAACCUUUGCAUGAUUUGUUUUGACCUGUGGGUCUUGCACUGCACUGCACUGCACUGCACUGCACUCCUAUUAUCACAUGUACGUAGCUGUAGUCCCUAAAUUUGGGGGCAGAGCCACAUUACUGUGUCUGCCACGAUCCAGGGGAGAUUCAGGCUGGGUAUCAGGAACAGUGUCUUCUCCAGUGUGCAACUGAGCAUGGAGAGGGCUGCCCAGGGAAGCGGUCAUAGCACAGAGUUGGCAGAGUUCACCAAGUGCCUGGCCAGUGCUAUCAGGCAUAUGGUCUGAUUUUGGAGUGGUCAUGCAUGGAGCCGGGAGUUGUACUCAGCAAUCCUUAUGGGUCCCUUCCAACUCGGGAUACUCUGAUUCUCUGAUAUAGAAACGGUUGGAAAUGUUGUGCUACAACAAGGAGACAGAGAGGGGGGUCUGGGAGGAGGUAGAUUCCCCAUCACUGGAGGUGUUUGAGAAACAUGGAGAUGGGAAACCUGGGGACAUGGUCAGAAGGCAUGGGUUGAUGGUUGGACUUGAUGGUCUUAGAGGUCUCUUCUGACCUUGAUGAUUCUUUGACUGGGGCUGCAAUGGCAGGCAAAAUGUUUAUUUGUUUUGUUUUAUUUUGCCUUGGGGUCUGGAACAACACUUGAUUACUCUGGGUGGAGGUGAGGGGGGGAGGGAGGUGGAAAUAAGGAAGUGUUCAUGCUAACAGGGGCACAGAUAGAGAGACAGACAGACACGGUGCAGAGCUGUACCACAGGGCAAACACGCUGCAGGCUCUUGACAUUAACCAGUCAUUAUUUACACACGCAAAUAUCUGUGAUCCGGUGCAUGGACAGAAAAGCUGCAGAAAAUAUCUCCAUUUUCAAACAGAGUUUUAAUUAUUUGUAAAGACUUCAAUUGUUCAACAGAUAAUGUCAUGGAUUGGUCUUCACAGUGUGAAGUGCAACCGUCCAGAACCCCCACAGUAUUAUAAAUAGGCUUCGAAGCCGGGAUUGAUUGAUGUUUGGCAUAAAAUCUAUUCCUCUGAGCAUGUAUAUUCCUUCUGUUCACCAGUUUCAUACAAAUAUACUUGGGCUGAUUUUUUAUUCAAAUCUCCAAUUUAUGUAGGGUUUAAACUGUUAAAUAUUUAAAGCCUUUUUCAUCUCUUUUUUUUCCCCCUCUUUUCAGUUAGAGGUAACUAAAUCUUUUGCCUAACACAAACAAGACUUGGAGAUUUAGCACAUUCCUGUGGGGGAGAGAAAGGGUUUAUUAAUUAUAUUGAGACUCAAAUAAUAUGCUUCCUUGACACUAAUGUUCCAUCAGCUCCAACCACAAGUAUCCUAUGGGAUAGCUUUAAAGCCUUUAUCAGGAUCUAGAUUACUGCAUUUAUGGCUCCAUAGAAGAAAGAAUUUAAUGAAUGGCGUUCUGAGUUUGAAAAGAGUAUCUGAGAAGAAGUGAUAUUGAGAUAUAAAAACUGCAACAAUGAGGAGUUAUUCCAGCAGAGUCUCUGGGACUCCAUAAUGAAACAUCAAAUAACAGUAAGUAUAAUGUACCUUUUCAGGAAUCUACAUAAAUAUCUAAGACCUCUCAGAUGGAGAAUUCGUCCUUGCUGCACCUUGUCUGCAUCUGACAACGGAGAUCCCAGAGGAGCUGCGUCUUUUGGAAAAUAUCUCUCCCAAAGUCUCAGUUAAGUUUUCACUUAUCAAAUCAAUACUCCCAAAUAAUUUUAUUUUUUAAUUUUUAUGACAUCGUGACUUUCGUUUCAUCCGCCCUUUUCUUCCUCUCCUAAGAUGAUAUAUUUACAUACCAUCACCCCUGUGGUCAUUAUUAAUUCAUUUAUGCAUGGCUUUGUAUUCAGCAGCACCUAAGAACUGUAGUCAUGAGGCAAGACCCCAUUAUGUCUUAUUAAUUCGUGAUUAUUUUUUGUAUUAUAGUAGAACUUGGAGAUCUUUCUGAAGUAAUGGCCGUACCGUAUAAAUAUUUUAUCUAAGCAUACAGAAACCUAACAAGCCUACCUCAUAUACAGGAAUUCCAAGAGGAAGAUAAAACAGCACGAUCUGUUGGUCAUGAUCAAAUGUGAUCUUUGCCUCGUGGACCAGAGUAACCGGGUUCAAUAGACUUCGGAAAGGAUUAACAGAGCAAUCAGAGAAGUUGACCUUGGAGAAGAGGUAUCAUUACAUCUUACUUUUGCUGUAAGAGUGAACCAUCUGAGAGACCUGAUCUGUUCCCACAUGAAUCUGGUUCGCAAAGGACGGGCAUAACAAAAUCAGAAAUUUCAAACCAAACAGUACUGGAGUUAGCAAGCAAUCAGGUUUUUAAAAUUGCCUUGCUUAAAGCCCAUUAAACAAAGCCAAACUCCUCUCUAAAUCAGUAAAUAGAAGUUGUUUAGAGCAAACAGAGUAUCAGUGGAAAUUCUAAAUCCUGAAGUUUUCACAGGUUAAAAAAAUAACACCAUCACGCAACUUAUCAGUUAUUCAAGGAUUAUCAUUAUCCUAAAUUGGCUGUUAGACACGUCUGUGACUUAAUAGAAGCCAAAGAGAUUAGACCUGCAAAAAAAGGUGAAGGAAUGUUAGUGGGGAGCCUGGGCUGCUGGCUUUAAAAUUCUCACCUAAAAUCAGGCGCUAGGGCUCCAGUGUUGGCUUUCAGACCCUGAGCCUGGAUGGAAAAAUCUCUGAGAAUCCAAUGGAAAAGAGUCCACCUUUGGAGGGUCCCACCAGGUGUAAGGCUCCGGCUCCAAGCUGCUUACUGUCAACAAAUUCUUGCAUUGUUUAGUGCCCAAAACACAGCUGUCAUUUUAAUUGCACAAGUACAGAUUCCUUGGGCUUGGUUUUUCUGUGUGUGCACAACACCUCUGCGAGGUCAGCUAACUGCUCAGGAGCCAACAACGAGGGAGAAGGGAUGUUCCAGCUCUCAGU
rnacentral:lncRNA from 7 species